rnacentral:lncRNA from 1 species
GUCCACGAAUAAUUCUAAAUAAUGCAAAUGAGUGUGUGGUGCGGAAGUUUUUUUUUGCAAAUUAGUCUUGCUUUGGAAAUUUUGCUGGAAUUUUGCAGGAACUACAAAAUUUUAAAUAUACCCUUGUCUUGUUGUCUACAUAUUACCUUAUUCAAAUUACAAAACAAAUUCUUAAUCUUCCUCAUUAACCAAAUUUCUAUAACCAUAUUCCUUUAUUAACAAUAAUCAAGAUAUUGAACAAAAUGCAACAUGUAGAGGUUCCUCAAUAAAGACAAGCAAAUGUAAUGUGACAGAGUUAAGUAUUGUCAGUAAAUGUGUGGCAGAUUUAUGUUCUGUCAGUCUUUUUUAAAAUCAUUAAAUUCUGAAAUUAUUUUACAUAAUUAUCAUUCAAGAAGUUCUUAGCAUGUUCUUAAAAUAACUUUAUUUAUGUUAAAAAUACAUUUUUGUUUCAAUCAUUUUAUCUACAUAAUAUAUAUAAUAACAAUGGAAUGUUAAAUUUAUUAUACAGCAAAAUCAAUCUGUAAAAGUAUAUAUGAGGUGGGAUUCUUUUGUUUUCUAUUUUUAAUGAGGAAAAAAUCUGCUUUCAGUUUGGUUCUUUGAAAAACUGCAUCAGGAUCAUUAUAAAUAUAAUCUUCAUAUACACAAUUUUAAAGAAUAAUUUUUAAAUUAAAUAUAAUAACAUAUAAAAAGAAAUAUAACGAUAACAGUUCAACCUUAACAUUAAAAACCAACAUAUACAGAUGAUUCUACAAUAUCAUAAAAUUAUAAGAAUAUACAGCAUCUUUAUUUGUUGCAAAAGUUUUAUAACGUGAGAUAGUAUUUUGUUUGUACAGUAUUUUUAUGAUUUUUGGUAAUUUAGCUUAGUUUGAACAUUUGCACUGAUACACAUUUUUAUGUCUAAAUUUAAUAUGUUAAGAAUCAGUAAACUGUACUGGUUUAUUUGGUUGACUGCUUUUUACAACAUAAGGAAACCAUAUAUUGAAUAUCUUAAGUACACGUCCAUGUACAGGGGUAUAUUAAAUAAUUUUCAAAUGUCUUAACAAAUCAUAAACUGUACGUAACACAUUUUUAUGGUUUCCUUCUAGGAUUUGAGGACAUAAAUUGUAUAGAAUGCCUUUCAAAUAUAACAAAGGAGAAACCUAUUUUUUUUAAAUUUCAAUGAAAACUAAGUUUAAUUUUGACUUUUCUGGAUGUUCAAGAGUCAUAUCUGCAAGGAAUAUAAAACAUUUCGUGUAAAACGCUUCAAUAUCAUAGCAUCUUAAAAUGGGAGCAGCAGUCACUGAAUCCUACAUACAUUGUACAUGGAUAAUAAAUGGAGUCUUGUUUUAAAAUGCACAAAAGGUUAUUGUACUUUAGAAGUGUGUUAUAAUUUCUCGAGACCUUAAUUACUGUCAAACAAUUAAAAAUCUGCAGAUACUGCAAAAAUUGUCUCAUUAUGUGCUCCUUUCAUUCAAAUUAACUUACGACAUAUUAAAAACACAAUGUUGUACUGCUAGAUGUACUGUAGAAAAUUCAAGAUAUACAAAUACAUUAAUGUUUCAGGGAAGAGUGAUACAUAAUUUAUUAUAAGCUUACAAUUUCAGAUAAUAUUGAGCUUUUAUAUGAAAAGAGUACAUUAUUAAAGUAUGUAUCAGUAUAUAAAAAUCAAAAACUUGUUUUAAGUACUGAAUGAGCGGUACAAUAUUUAAGAUAUGUAGCAUAUUAUAAAUUAUAAAUGAAACCUAUCUACUAGGCUACAUGUGUUUCUCCUUUUCGUAUAAAGCCUAAGGAGCAAAGGGUGCUAAACAAGCUACUAUCGAUCAAUCAUUAAAAGUUAAUAUUUUAAGUUUCAACAAAUAUAACACUACUAUUUCAGUACUGAAUCUUAUAAGUAAGAAAUUUUCAUUUAUAUUUGACAUAUAUGAUCACAAAACGAGAGAUGAAAAGUUACAAAAUAAUUAUAGUACAUAAUUAUAUGUACUAAUUUAGCCAUAAAUACACAAAUUACUUCCCAUGAGUUGGUCAUGUGGUGUACAUGCUGGUAUUGCAUUGACGAACAUAUGACUUGGAAGAUGUUUAAUUUUUUUAUCUUUAAUUAUUAUUUUAACUUUUUUAUUUUAACUUUCACUAACAGACUUGGUGUAUAUUCAAAUAUCUAUACCUGACAGGGGAAUAACAGGAGAUGACAUACAAUCAUUUUACAUUAAAAGGGAAGAAAAAAUAGAAUUGGGAAUGGCAACAAAUGAAUGAUUUAAUCAUAAGUAACUUAAUAGAUGUCAGUUAUAUGGAAAGCUGAAAAGGACUGCAAAACACAUUAAACCAAACUUUUGGCCAAUCGUAAUUCCAACAAAACCUCUUGGGAUCUGAGGUUACUUAGUAGUCUAUAUCAUAUAUAUGAACAUCAACAAGCUCUCAAUUUUUUUUAACUUUCAAUAUUUAAUAUAAAGGUUUUAACAAUGAUAAUAUACAUAACAAUUAACAAUGGUCACACAAAAAGCACAUUUACAUUAUUGUUAUCAGGAAAAUUGAUGAAUAUUGAUGAAUAUAUAAAUUGAGCAUGAUACAAUUUGUUUUUAGAAGUCUUUUUCAAUUCCCAAUAACAGCAUCUUUAAAUUUGGUGCAAUAUUCUCAAAUGCAGAAAUGCACAUGUCAAAAUAAAGUGAAUGGCUAACAAGGCCCUUAACAAUAGGUUUCAAAUCCAUGAAGUGAAGAUAUUUUCAUUUUGGAAAAUUAACAAUAAGGUCAUCUAUAAAUCAAAUUCUAAAAUCGGUGAAUCUUACAGGAAGCACAAAAAAUCAUUUGCAAUUUUACUUAAAAUAAUCAUAGUAGAAUUUUAAUAUUAUUUUUUUUCAUAAGUUGAAACUUGAUACUGCAAAAGGUAUCUCAUAUAAUAGGUUAGUAUGGUGCAUUUCAAAUUUCUCCAGCAUUAAAUCUUAAGAUUAACCAGUUUUCGAUAACACAUCAUAAGCAGUUACAAUAAACUGUCAUUUACAGUCAUCAAAUCUUAUUCAGCAUGUUUAGAGGCAAUAAAAUAUUAAAAAAAGUAAUGGCAACAAUAUUUAUGGUUCAAUUGUUUGGUCAGAAAAAAUUAAGUACUCUGCCUUAAAUAUAAAAAAAAACUGAUAGAAUGUAUAUGAAUAACAAGGCUACCUAACUAUGUAUAACAGUAGCAACACAAUUGUUAUUUUACUUAGUAAAAAUAAUGUGAACUAAAAUAUUAAUUUGGUAUAUGGUACAAGACACUAUCAAUAUGCAUUGAUAACAAAACUAUAUCAAUGUUUCUUCAUAAUAUUUUGUUUUAAAAAGUUAACAUUUCAGUUAUGUUAGGCCUAUUGCAAAUAAUAAGCAUAUGAAAACAGUACGUGUUCACAUAUUUGUCAAUUGGUCAUAAUGAACAGUUAUACAUGUUCCUAUUUUUUGAAGAAGAAAAAAAGGUUCCCUUUAAUAUACAUUAACACAAUUUAACAUUUGUCCUUGAAUGAUCCCUCUUUGACCUUCUUGAAUAUACAUCUACAUAAAAUAGCUAUUGCAAAAAUUAUCUGUGUGAUAAAAUAUGAUAAUAUUUAAAGAGGGGGGUUGGAGAGGUCCUGAUCCUGAAAUCCAGGCUUAAAAACACGAAAGCCUGAGGUCCCGAAUUUAAAUAAAUUUAAAUCCAGAAAUCGAAAAAAAGAAUUCCCUAAUCCAGAAAUCCUGAGCUGAAAAACACCAGAUCCCAAAGUCUCGAUAAAGGUCCUAUCCUCCCUCAAUGUUUAAAAAGAUAACUAGAGUUGAAUGAUGGUUAUUAACACUGCUUAAACACACAUGGCUUAUAUCAAAGUGUAGCCCAUAAAAGUGGAAAGUAUCAGUUCUUUGCCACUGGGAAAAAUUAGGUUGACAUUCUUAAACCCCCUGAACCUAACAUCCUGAAUCCUGAAUCCAAACUUGACAUUAAGUACCUUUUAGACUUUUGACUAAAAAUCUGUACAAACUUCUGUAGAUUCAUUAAUAUUUGUUGGAUACCAAUUCUCGUUGAUUUCAUGGGUACAUGCAGGUACAAUGAAUUAAAAUAUUCAACAAAAUACAAAUUUUCAAAAGGAAUGUAUGCAUAACACACCUCCUUUUUAUAUUUCCCAAAACCACGAAAUUAAGUAUCCACGAAUAUAAAAGUUUUCCUCAAUCCACAAAAAUUAGUACCCAUGAAAAUAAAUGAAUCUACAAGAUGUUUAUGGACUCCAAAUAAUACAAAAAAAGAUUUUUCUAUUCAAACUAUGUUUGUGAACUCCAAAAAAUAUAAAAAUAAUCUAUUUAAAAUUAAAUCAAAUCAAAUACUUGUUUUGUUGAGGACAAG